AUUAUAACAAGUGUUCAUCUCACCAUCGGCAAACCAGUGAUAAAACGGUGCCUGCGAUUCAUCGAGCACCGUUUGCGCCGGCUUAAUCCAAUCGAGCGUCUUCGCCGCUUCUCCCCAGAAUUCGGCUUUAUUAAGCAAGGAUGCUUGGUGCAACGCUUGAUGUUUUUGUUGGUUCUGUUUUUGAUUUGUGGCUUGCGCUACAGAUGCAUUUUGCUGUUCGGUCAACAUAUGUCCUCCAAUCAGGACUGCGGCUUUAAUUAGCAGCCGCAAUAACGACAACUACCCCUUCCUUCCUGCUUCUAUUAUUAGCAAGGAGACCUCAAGCCCACUAUUAGACGUUAGCCUAUAACCAGAAGGUAUUUGUGGUUUUAUGAGCUUUAAAUCCAGCCGCACAGGCCGAUGGCAAUUGGGAUUGACACUUUUUUGCCAACAGAAUAAAAGUCAAAAUCUUUACCUUUACGUAAACUUCAUAUAUCUUGCUUAAAACUGAUUAUUUAGGGUACAUGAAUGAGCGCAACACACACAGCACAAACAACGUACUCGAUUAGUGAUCUCUCAAAAGAAUUUGAUAUCACCACACGGAGCAUUCGUUUCUACGAAGACCAAGGCUUGCUUAAGCCAAAACGUCGCGGUCAAACCCGUAUUUACAGUCUUAAGGACAGGGUUCGACUCAAACUUAUUCUGCGCGGCAAGCGCCUUGGGUUCUCCCUUGCGGAGACCCGACGCCUGUUCGAACUUUACGAUGCCGAUAAGAGCAGCACCACUCAGCUCAAUACCAUGCUUGCCCUCGUGGAAGAGAAAAAAUCCGCCCUGCAGCAGCAAAUGGACGACAUCAAAGUGGUACUGAUGGAGCUAAAUUCGGCCGAGCAGCAAUGCCGCCUCGCCCUUGAAGAAAGCAAGACCAAGGCCUAAUGCCUUCGAGCUUGCGAGCAUAGCAUUAACGAACACCUUAGUUGGUACGACCGCGUGACAGGGAUACAUCACGCUAAGCAAGACAGUUUUAAAGACUCAAGCACCUAAUAAUCAUAACAAUAUAAAUUAGAACAUCUGAAAGGACACAAGCAAUGAACUCACUCUACACCAGUCUUAAUUUUGGCCUAGGCGAAGAUGUCGAUAUGCUGCGCGAUGCAGUGCAGGAUUUUGCCGCGAAUGAAAUCGCACCGAUUGCCGCGAAAGUGGAUCACGACAAUGCCUUUCCCAAUGAACUUUGGCCUGUGCUUGGAGGUAUGGGACUGCUCGGCGUAACAGUACCCGAAGAGUUCGGCGGCGCGAACAUGGGCUACCUUGCCCACGUCGUCGCAAUGGAAGAAAUUUCCCGCGCCUCGGCCUCUAUCGGCUUAAGUUACGGCGCCCACUCCAAUCUGUGCGUAAACCAAAUUAACCGUAACGGUAAUGCCGCACAAAAAGCCAAAUACUUACCAAAGCUCGUCAGCGGUGAGCAUAUUGGCGCACUGGCAAUGAGUGAACCCAAUGCGGGUUCUGAUGUGGUUUCAAUGAAGCUGCACGCCCGUAAAGAAGGCGACCGUUAUAUCCUUAAU
rnacentral:rRNA from 1 species